rnacentral:rRNA from 1 species
UUGGAGGGCAAGUCUGGUGCCAGCAGCCGCGGUAAUUCCAGCUCCAAUAGCGUAUAUUAAAGUUGUUGCAGUUAAAAAGCUCGUAGUUGAAUUUCGGGAUCAGACUGUCGGUCGUGCCUCGGUACGCACUGGCAUUAUUGGUUCCUACCUUCUGAAGAACCGCGAUGUCAUUAAUUUGGUGUCGCGGGGAAUCAGGACUGUUACUUUGAAAAAAUUAGAGUGUUUAAAGCAGGCGCACGCUUGAAUACAUUAGCAUGGAAUAAUGAAAUAGGACGUUUGAUUCUAUUUUGUUGGUUUCUAGGAUCGACGUAAUGAUUAAUAGGGAUAGUUGGGGGCAUUAGUAUUCAAUUGUCAGAGGUGAAAUUCUUGGAUUUAUUGAAGACUAACUACUGCGAAAGCAUUUGCCAAGGAUGUUUUCAUUAAUCAAGAACGAAAGUUAGGGGAUCGAAGACGAUCAGAUACCGUCGUAGUCUUAACCAUAAACUAUGCCGACUAGGGAUCGGAUGAUGUUAAUUUUUUAAUGACUCAUUCGGCGCCUUACGGGAAAC